AGUGGCGAACGGGUGAGUAACACGUGGGCAAUCUGCCCUGCACUCUGGGACAAGCCCUGGAAACGGGGUCUAAUACCGGAUAUUACCUGGUUGCGCAUGCUUCCGGGUGGAAAGCUCCGGCGGUGCAGGAUGAGCCCGCGGCCUAUCAGCUUGUUGGUGGGGUGAUGGCCUACCAAGGCGACGACGGGUAGCCGGCCUGAGAGGGCGACCGGCCACACUGGGACUGAGACACGGCCCAGACUCCUACGGGAGGCAGCAGUGGGGAAUAUUGCACAAUGGGCGAAAGCCUGAUGCAGCGACGCCGCGUGAGGGAUGACGGCCUUCGGGUUGUAAACCUCUUUCAGCAGGGAAGAAGCGCAAGUGACGGUACCUGCAGAAGAAGCACCGGCUAACUACGUGCCAGCAGCCGCGGUAAUACGUAGGGUGCGAGCGUUGUCCGGAAUUAUUGGGCGUAAAGAGCUCGUAGGCGGCUUGUCGCGUCGGAUGUGAAAGCCCGGGGCUUAACUCCGGGUCUGCAUUCGAUACGGGCAGGC
rnacentral:rRNA from 1 species